UGCAUCACAGCGCCACGCCAUCUGGAGCCAAUUUAACUGUUGCCAGUCAAAGUCCGAUUCUCUGCAGACAUGUCUGAUAAACCUAACCUGGAGGAGGUCACCAGCUUUGACAAGACAAAGCUGAAGAAGACUGAAACCCAAGAGAAAAACCCUUUGCCAUCAAAAGAAACCAUUGAACAGGAGAAGCAGGCGUCCUAAUGAACUCCUGGUCUCCACUAUGCACUGUACAUUCCACAAGCAUUGCCUUCUUUCACCACUUUUAGCUCUUUAACUUUGUAACGGAAAACCUAAGUUGCAUUGUGAUUGGACAUACGCAGAUGACUGUACAGCCCAUAUGCCUGACCCCUGACCCCUGAGCCCCUUUAAACUGCAAAGAAAGAAAAUGGCAGUCUGCAGAGAAGAGAUGCCACCAAUCGUGAUGUUCCAACCCCCCUCAGCGCGGUGCCACCUGUGUCCUGUCCUCUGUCUGCUUCAAGUCUCUAGAGGCAGAAGGGGGAGGAGCAAGCCUGUGAUUGACAAGUCCAGGGACCCACACUUGUAACAUCUGGAGUGUUUGAUUGUUGGUGACUGAUAAAAAGAUCACGUCAUGCAGUGUUUUUUUUUUGUUUUUUUGUAUAAGUUUAAGUCUUGGAAUGCACAAUUGUUUUGAUAUGCAAAUAAAAAGAAUAAACCUGUA